rnacentral:rRNA from 1 species
UAGGGAAUCUUCCACAAUGGGNGAAAGCCUGAUGGAGCAACGCCGCGUGUGUGAUGAAGGGUUUCGGCUCGUAAAACACUGUUGUAAGAGAAGAAUGACAUUGAGAGUAACUGUUCAAUGUGUGACGGUAUCUUACCAGAAAGGAACGGCUAAAUACGUGCCAC